UGUUCAGUGAAAUCGAGUAGGGCGGGACACGUGAUAUCCUGUCUGAAUAUGGGGGGACCAUCCUCCAAGGCUAAAUACUACUGACUGACCGAUAGUGAACCAGUACCGUGAGGGAAAGGCGAAAAGAACCCCUGUGAGGGGAGUGAAAUAGAACCUGAAACCGUGUACGUACAAGCAGUAGGAGCAGGCUUUGUCCUGUGACUGCGUACCUUUUGUAUAAUGGGUCAGCGACUUAUAUUCAGUGGCAAGGUUAACCAUCUAGGGGAGCCGUAGGGAAACCGAGUCUUAACUGGGCGUUCAGUCUCUGGAUAUAGACCCGAAACCAGGUGAUCUAGCCAUGGGCAGGUUGAAGGUUGAGUAACAUCAACUGGAGGACCGAACCGACUAAUGUUGAAAAA
rnacentral:rRNA from 1 species